rnacentral:tRNA from 1 species
GGAGAGGUGGCCGAGAGGCUUAAGGCGGCGGUUUGCUAAACCGCUAUACGGUUUAAUAUCGUAUCAAGGGUUCGAAUCCCUUUCUCUCCACCA